rnacentral:rRNA from 1 species
AUGCUUAGGAAAAUGUACCAAGGUGGUUCUUCAAGGAAGCAAGGACCCAGGCUUGCAAUGCGUGGUGCUGAUGAAGAGCCACCAAGAGACGCUCCAGUGCGUCCUUGUGAAUGGCCUUCGAAAAACUUUAUGGAUCGAGCGGGAGUUAAGGAAGAAUUUAACGCAUAUUUGCGUAACACUGAUCUUGUGAGCUUCGAGGAAGAGAAGUGCAGCCAGUAUCACUAUCUCACUAGUUCCUUUGUGAGAAGGUUUGAAUUUUCAUCUUCAUGCAAUUCUCCAACUGUCCUGUUUGAUCUUUAUGAAAAUUCUUACACUAUGGAGUUAGAGGAUUUUACCACUGCUUGCAAACUUCCACAAUGGGGUAGUGUCAGGGAACCUCGCAAAUCUGAAUUUAGAGAUUUUCUUGCUAGUAUAACUGUGGGGGAAUCUAGAGAUAUAACACAAGCUACCAUAGGGAGCAUUCACUUUCCUGCUAUACAUUAUUUUGCUCUCUUCAUAGGUAGAUGCAUUAACGGUAAAGAUGAGACAUGUCAAUGUGUGUCCCUGACCUCAGUAUUCUUAGGAGUGCUGUGUUAG